rnacentral:lncRNA from 1 species
AUGGAUCCCCCCCUCCAAAAAAAAAGGAGCCACGGGGGGGGAUCCGGAGUCUCAUGGGGUUCCGGACUGGAGGAGGAUCCUACUGAGUCUCUCUCACGGGGAGAUCCAAGGAGGGGGGAGGAUCCACAGCAGUCCCUCACAGGAGGAGGAUCCAGCAGCCUCUCUCGCAAGGACCCAGCGAAGCGAUCCCGCAGUCUCUCUCGCAGGAGGAGGAUCCAGCAGUCUCUCCCGCAGGAAGGAGUGAGCGUGGGGAGGGGAUCCGAGUAGGAGGAUCCAGCAAAGUCU